rnacentral:rRNA from 15 species
AUUGGAGAGUUUGAUCCUGGCUCAGGACGAACGCUGGCGGCGUGCUUAACACAUGCAAGUCGAACGGAAAGGCCCUGCUUUUGUGGGGUGCUCGAGUGGCGAACGGGUGAGUAACACGUGAGUAAUCUGCCCUUCACUUCGGGAUAACUACCGGAAACGGUGGCUAAUACCGGAUAUGACCACGUACUGCAUGGUGUGUGGUGGAAAGUUCUGGCGGUGAAGGAUGUGCUCGCGGCCUAUCAGCUUGUUGGUGGGGUAAUGGCCUACCAAGGCGUCGACGGGUAGCCGGCCUGAGAGGGUGACCGGCCACACUGGGACUGAGACACGG